rnacentral:rRNA from 1 species
GACGAACGCUGGCGGCGUGCUUAACACAUGCAAGUCGAACGGUGAUGCUCCAGCUUGCUGGCGUGGAUCAGUGGCGCACGGGUGUGAAACACGUGAGCAACCUGCCCCAGACUCUGGAAUAAGCGCUGGAAACGGCGUCUAAUACUGGAUACGAAACUGUCCCGCAUGGGCAUGGUUUGGAAAGUUUUUCGGUAUGGGAUGGGCUCGCGGCCUACCAGCUUGUUGGUGAAGUAAUGGCUCACCAAGGCGACGACGGGUAGCCGACCUGAGAGGGCGGCCGGGGACCCUAGGCCUAAGGGAGGGCCCAGUCGGCAACGGGAGGCAGCAGUGGAGAGCAUUACGCAAUGGGCGAAAGUGUGAUGCGGAGGCGCCCGGUGAGGAAUGACGGCCUUCGGGUUGUGAACCUCUGUGAGCAGGGAAGAAGCGAAAGUGACGGUACCUGCAGAAGAAGCACCGGCUAACUACGUG